GCAGAGCCAUGGCCCUCUUCUUUGUUCUCUGCUGGAUCCAAGAGUCGGGGGUCUCCCUAUGUUUCCCAGGCUGGCCUCGAACUCCUGACCUCAAGUGAUCCUCCCACCUCAGCCUCCCCGAGUGCUGGGAUUAAAGACGUGAGCCACGGCACCUGGCCUGAAUUUUCCUCAAAUUCAAAAAAUCCUGAUGAAGGUUUGGCUAAAAUCUUUGAUGAAAUUGUGCUCCAAGUGUUUUCCAAGGUUCCGUAUGACCCAUCAUUUGAUGAAACAAGAACAGCAGUCAGAUCCAUUACAAAGAGAGACACACAAAAAAGCUAUUCCCAACAGAAGAGCUUGAACAAUGCUGCAUUUGCAUCAGGUUCAAAUGAGCGAGAGGAACAUUUGGCUAAAAUAUUUGAUGAAAUUCUACUGCAGGUGUUUCCAAAGUUUCCGUAUGACCCAUCAUUUAACGAAGCAACAGCAGUCAGAUCCAUUACAAAGACAGACAUGAGAAAAGGAACCAGCAUUGCUUGGAAUUCUCCUAAACCAGAAUAUUUCCUUGGCAGUGUGGACAAAAUUCCUGAUAAAGAUCACCUUUCAGAGGAGAAGAAUUUUAAAGAAUCCUGUCUGUUCGACAGGGAUUUAAGAGAGCAGUUAACUACUAUAGAUAAAGAAACACUUCAAGGAGCAGCUAAACCAGAUGCUCACUUUAGGACUAUGCCCUGCGGGCAGCUUCUGCACUUCCUGCAGAGGAACAC
rnacentral:misc_RNA from 1 species